GCUGGGCAUGGUGGCUCAUGCCUGUAAUCCCAGCACUCUGGGAGGCUGAGGCGGGUGGAUCACCUGAGGUCAGGAGUUUGAGACCAGCCUGGCCAACAUGGUGAAACCCUGUCUUUA
rnacentral:SRP_RNA from 1 species